CUUUAACUUUUCAGAUUCAAUAUAUUGCCUGCAAAAAUAUGCCUCAAUGAUUGAGUCUCAGGCUACCAACCACCUCCGGAUGAUUAUAUAUAAGAAUUACUACUCAAAAAAUCUUUUUUAUAAUAAAAGCUCAACACAUGGUCAUAAAUGAUAAAAAAUUAU
rnacentral:sRNA from 1 species